rnacentral:rRNA from 1 species
CCUACGGGAGGCAGCAGUGGGGAAUAUUGGACAAUGGGCGCAAGCCUGAUCCAGCAAUGCCGCGUGUGUGAAGAAGGCCUGCGGGUUGUAAAGCACUUUCAGUAGAGAAGAAAAGCUUAAGGCGAAUACCCUUGAGUCUUGACGUAACCUACAGAAGAAGCACCGGCUAACUCCGUGCCAGCAGCCGCGGUAAU